CGCGUGAGGGAAGACGGCCCUACGGGUUGUAAACCUCUUUUGUCAGGGAGCAAGAGGCGGGUCGAGACCUGCUGUGAGAGUACCUGAAGAAAAAGCAUCGGCUAACUCCGUGCCAGCAGCCGCGGUAAUACGGAGGAUGCGAGCGUUAUCCGGAUUUAUUGGGUUUAAAGGGUGCGCAGGCGGAGGCACAAGUCAGCGGUAAAAUCGCGGGGCUCAACCCCGCUCCGCCGUUGAAACUGUGUCCCUUGAGUGCGCGAAGGGUAGGCGGAAUGCGUGGUGUAGCGGUGAAAUGCAUAGAUAUCACGCAGAACUCCGAUCGCGAAGGCAGCCUACCGGCGCGCAACUGACGCUCAUGCACGAAAGCGUGGGUAUCGAACAGGAUUAGAUACCCUGGUAGUCCACGCAGUAAACGAUGAAUGCUAUCUGUCCGGCCGGAAUGACGGCUGG
rnacentral:rRNA from 1 species